GACGAACGCUGGCGGCGUGCUUAACACAUGCAAGUCGAACGGAAAGGCCCUGCUUUUGUGGGGUGCUCGAGUGGCGAACGGGUGAGUAACACGUGAGUAACCUGCCCUUGACUUUGGGAUAACUUCAGGAAACUGGGGCUAAUACCGUAUAGGAGCUCCUGCUGCAUGGUGGGGGUUGGAAAGUUUCGGCGGUUGGGGAUGGACUCGCGGCUGAUCAGCUUGUUGGUUGGGUAGUGGCUUACCAAGGCUUUGACGGGUAGCCGGCCUGAGAGGGUGACCGGCCACAUGGGGACUGAGAGAGGGACCAGACUCCUACGGGAGGCAGCAGUGGGGAAUAUUGCACAGUGGGCGGAAGCCUGAUGAAGCAACGCCGCGUGUGGGAUGACGGCCUUCGGGUUGUAAACCGCUUUCGCCUGUGACGAAGCGUGAGUGACGGUAAUGGGUAAAGAAGCACCGGCUAACUACGUG
rnacentral:rRNA from 1 species